GAACGCUGGCGGCGUGCCUAACACAUGCAAGUCGAACGGAACUGUUUUGAAAGAUUUCUUCGGAAUGAAUUUGAUUUAGUUUAGUGGCGGACGGGUGAGUAACGCGUGAGUAACCUGCCUUCAAGAGGGGGAUAACAUUCUGAAAAGGAUGCUAAUACCGCAUGACAUAUCGGAACCACAUGGUUUUGAUAUCAAAGAUUUUAUCGCUUGAAGAUGGACUCGCGUCCGAUUAGUUAGUUGGUGAGGUAACGGCUCACCAAGACCGCGAUCGGUAGCCGGACUGAGAGGUUGAACGGCCACAUUGGGACUGAGACACGGCCCAGACUCCUACGGGAGGCAGCAGUGGGGGAUAUUGCGCAAUGGGGGCAACCCUGACGCAGCAACGCCGCGUGAAGGAUGAAGGUUUUCGGAUUGUAAACUUCUUUUAUUAAGGACGAAAAAUGACGGUACUUAAUGAAUAAGCUCCGGCUAACUACGUGCCAGCAGCCGCGGUAAUACGUAGGGAGCAAGCGUUGUCCGGAUUUACUGGGUGUAAAGGGUGCGUAGGCGGCUUUGCAAGUCAGAUGUGAAAUCUAUGGGCUCAACCCAUAAACUGCAUUUGAAACUGUAGAGCUUGAGUGAAGUAGAGGCAGGCGGAAUUCCCCGUGUAGCGGUGAAAUGCGUAGAGAUGGGGAGGAACACCAGUGGCGAAGGCGGCCU
rnacentral:rRNA from 1 species